AGAAUCAACGCUGGCGGCGUGCCUAACACAUGCAAGUCGCACGAAGGAAAGGGGAGCAACUCCCUGAGUAAAGUGGCGCACGGGUGAGUAACACGUGAAUAAUCUACCUCCGAGUGGGGAAUAACUGAGAGAAAUCUUAGCUAAUACCGCAUAACACUUACGAGUCAAAGCAGCAAUGCGCUUGGAGAGGAGUUCGCGGCCGAUUAGUUAGUUGGCGGGGUAAUGGCCCACCAAGACGAUGAUCGGUA
rnacentral:rRNA from 1 species